UACCGAUCUCAUUCAUUUCACUCUCUUUUCCUGACCCUUUGAUACCGAUAGUGAAUGCAUAUUGUGUGAUAGAGAGAGCAUAUCUUAAUUGGCUGCCGUGUUAUCUGCUCUGGUUGAUAAGCUUCUUUGUCUUGUCCAUCGUUAGAUGGCCAGCGCCGAUGGAGUGAGGAGGCAUUAUUGAGGAUCACGUCAUCCAAACACUUGCUCGCAUUUCAUCCCAGUCAUUUGGAAAUGACUGAGCAGUGGAAAAAUCAAGUAAAGAUCACUAUGUGUGGGAAUGCAGCGGCAGUGAAGAUGAGGCACAGAACAGAACAUCCCAUGCACAUCUUUGUAUGAAUGGCUGCCUAUAGUGUUUUCUGACGUGCAAAUCAUAAAAUCCUGGAUUAAAGGGAAUUCGUGUUAGAGGCUUCCUGGAAAACAUAUAUCAGAGCCGGUGUCAGCCAGAACCAACAGUGCCUGUUUGCCCGUCUGGACCAACUUGGACCGACGCCCAGGUCAAAGGUCAAACAACCAGUCGGCUCCACACAUUCAAUUUCUCUCUCUCCUUCUCAUCAUAAUCCUUCUGAGAUUUCCUUUUUGUAGAGUUUCUUUUGCUUGUCUUGUUCCAAUUUCAAACUCAGAAAUUGCUAAAAGAAAAAUGAAGCUUGGGUGGUGACGAAGAUCAGUGUCUGAAUUGUUAAAGGGGCAAUUCAGUCACACAAAAUGAUCUACGUCGCAAAUACUGUCAAGCAAAGACUCAAAGAUAACGACAAAUGAGCGAACCUGUUCUGUGAUGCCCACAUUUGAUGCAUAGAGGCCCCACAGCAUGCCAGCACUCUGUUGCCAGACACCACAGGAAACCCUGUGUCUAGGCCAGAGUUUAAUCAAGUGAAUCAUUUAAGAAACUACUAAAGGAAAUUGUUUCAUUUUAAAUAGACCUUUCAGGUUAAUCUCUGUAACCUGAUCAAAUGUUGUGUACCUGACCUGCUAUAGUUCUACACCAGAGAUAUCAAAAUCUAUGCACUCCAGCGGACUGGAUUGGAGGGGCUGAUUCUGGCCUCUGGGCCUUACACCCUGUUCUUCUGGAAGUAGAGAUUAACCCCCAAACUUCUUUCACUUGUGUUCGGAAGUAUCCUGCAUCAGGCCACAAUCCCCUAUAGGAAACAGCUAUGGCUCAUCAGCUAACACCUGGCUGUGCUAGCAUGUCAUAUCAUGAGUAAUUGUAUAAUGCUAAUCUCUCUCAGAUCAGCAAAUCCAGGCUGACCCUGGUAUAACCCAAUGACCCGGCCAGGGAACCUCACACAGGAUCAGACCGUGAACUUAUCUCCUCCAAAAACCAAUCCCCACUCUUACUUUUGCUUAGAGGUAGACAGGAGAGAAAGGUUCAAAGGAUGUACGGAUAUGACCAGAUCCCUUAAGUGUGAAAAUUGGUUUUAUAUUAUUAGGAAGUGGCACCUUGAUUGAACUCUCACACCCCCCAAAAAUGGGAAGUGUGAACAAAAGGGUCACAUAAUGAUAUAAUGAAUGAUAACUGAGGUUAAACAAAAUAUCUAUAACAACUAUAAUUGCACCACCAAGUCUCAGAAUGGAGUUUAUAAAUGAAGAAUUCCAAAAUCUUUAACUGGCAUCUGUCUUGGCCUAUUUUUGGAUCUCCAGAAUGUGAGAGCCCCUACUGUCUUUUCUCUCUUUCUCCUUACCUCACCUCAUCGCCUUCCUCGUUUUUUCUCUCUGUCAUCUGUCAGGCAGCUCAGUUCUUGGCAUUCUCACCACCUGCUCAGGACCCGCUGGAUUUCUCUCCUGCAAAAGAGCUUUGCACUGUGCCACAGCUUUCAUCUGCCAGCCUAUUUCUCUUUCUUUCCCUUUAGCCCACUCCUCUUCUUUUCCUCCCACACUCGUUCUCGGUUCUGAUCUCUGCAUCUCCAUCUAUUUUUUGUGUCGCUGAAAUCAUCUCUGUCUAUUUUGUCUUUAAAAACCCUCUAGUCCGUCGUCAAUUCAUCUGCCGCCUGCAGUCUUUAAACACGUUAGACUAUGUGAUGCUUGCUUAGAAAAAAACGAGCCCAAUUCUCACCGUGCAUCAGGUGUUUAUUCUGAACAGAAAAUGAUGUAUUUUAUCAUUUAUCUUACC